rnacentral:ncRNA from 2 species
AAUAUGCUAGGAUGUAUAGGUACCCUCUUUGGAGGGUUUAAUGGGGAACCCCUAAAAAUGGGGACGGUCCCGCCGCUGUGAUCAGGGACGAAACCCAUAAAGACAGUGAAGAGUUAAAGGUUAAAGAAGCAAAAGACUUUUAACUUCCAACUUUUAACUGUUUUAAAACCACUGGUGGUUUUGAAACUGCCGGGAAGGUGUGGGGAGUAGAGAGAUCUGAGAGUCAGAAGACCUGCCUAUAUUAUAGGACUUAC